GGAAGCGUGGCAGAGCGGUUGAAUGCACCAGUCUUGAAAACUGACAGCCCUUCGCGGGGCUCGAGGGUUCGAAUCCCUCCGCUUCCU
rnacentral:tRNA from 1 species